AUCUAAGUACCUCGAGGAAAAGAAAUCAACCGAGAUUCCCCUAGUAGUGGCGAGCGAACGGGGACUAGCCCUUAAGUGGCUUUGAGAUUAGCGGAACGCUCUGGAAAGUGCGGCCAUAGUGGGUGAUAGCCCUGUACGCGAAACGCUCUUAUCAAUGAAAUCGAGUAGGACGGGGCACGAGAAACCCUGUCUGAAUAUGGGGGGACCAUCCUCCAAGGCUAAAUACUACUGACUGACCGAUAGUGAACUAGUACCGUGAGGGAAAGGCGAAAAGAACCCCG
rnacentral:rRNA from 1 species